AAAACCUCCUUCGGGAGGUUAUUAAUGGCGAACGGGUGAGUAACACGUGGGCAAUCUGCCCUUCACUCUGGGACAAGCCCUGGAAACGGGGUCUAAUACCGGAUACGACCUCCGACCGCAUGGUCUGGUGGUGGAAAGCUCCGGCGGUGAAGGAUGAGCCCGCGGCCUAUCAGCUUGUUGGUGGGGUGAUGGCCUACCAAGGCGACGACGGGUAGCCGGCCUGAGAGGGCGACCGGCCACACUGGGACUGAGACACGGCCCAGACUCCUACGGGAGGCAGCAGUGGGGAAUAUUGCACAAUGGGCGAAAGCCUGAUGCAGCGACGCCGCGUGAGGGAUGACGGCCUUCGGGUUGUAAACCUCUUUCAGCAGGGAAGAAGCGAGAGUGACGGUACCUGCAAAAGAAGCGCCGGCUAACUACGUGCCAGCAGCCGCGGUAAUACGUAGGGCGCAAGCGUUGUCCGGAAUUAUUGGGCGUAAAGAGCUCGUAGGCGGCUUGUCACGUCGGAUGUGAAAGCCCGGGGCUUAACCCCGGGUCUGCAUUCGAUACGGGCAGGCUAGAGUUCGGUAGGGGAUAUCGGAAUUCCUGGUGUAGCGGUGAAAUGCGCAGAUAUCAGGANNGAACACCGGUGGCGAAGGCGGAUCUCUGGGNCGAUACUGACNCUGAGNANCNAAGCGUGGGGAGNNNANANNAUUAAAUACCCNNGNAGUCCACNCCGUAAACG
rnacentral:rRNA from 1 species